GUUGGUUGGUUGGUUGGUCGGUCGGUCGGUCGGUCGGUCGGUCGGUCGGUCGGUCGGUCGGUCGGUUGGUUCAAUGUC
rnacentral:miRNA from 1 species